rnacentral:rRNA from 1 species
GACGAACGCUGGCGCGUGCCUAAUACAUGCAAGUCGAGCGGAGUUAGAGAAGCUUGCUUCUCUAACUUAGCGGCGGACGGGUGAGUAACACGUGGGCAAUCUGCCCGUAAGACUGGGAUAACUCCGGGAAACCGGGGCUAAUACCGGAUAAUCCUGACUCUCUCCUGAGAGUCAGUUGAAAGAUGGUUUCGGCUAUCACUUACGGAUGAGCCCGCGGCGCAUUAGCUAGUUGGUAGGGUAAUGGCCUACCAAGGCGACGAUGCGUAGCCGACCUGAGAGGGUGAUCGGCCACACUGGGACUGAGACACGGCCCAGACUCCUACGGGAGGCAGCAGUAGGGAAUCUUCCACAAUGGACGAAAGUCUGAUGGAGCAACGCCGCGUGAGUGAAGAAGGUUUUCGGAUCGUAAAACUCUGUUGUAAGGGAAGAACACGUACGAGAGUAACUGCUCGUACCUUGACGGUACCUUAUUAGAAAGCCACGGCUAACUACGUG